AUGGGCCCAGAACCAGCACCCAAGGAGGCAGUGGGUCACUUCCCUGCAAGCUCCAAGGCUCAUUCUCUGCCCGGUGCUGGGAGGAGCGUGGACUGCCCCCACCCCCGGCUCCCACCAGCCCCUCCUGGGCCACAUCCGCCUGCCCCUCCAGGGUCAGGGUGUGGGCCCUUGGGACCGCUCUCAGCCCUGAGACUCUUGCCUGUUGUGUCUUACUUUCUGCAGGUCUCACAGGACCCCCAGGACCUCAGGGACUUCCCGGGACCCCUGGCCGACAGGGGAGUAAAGGUAAGUGACUUUCCAAAUGAGAUUCUCUUCUUUACACAGGCCAUUUUUGCAGGAGGGAGGGCUUGGCAGGUGGGAGGCCCCUCUCCAGCCAAAGCCUGGACCAACAGUGGCAUCUAGUGGCUCCAGCCGAAGGCUGAGGGGUGGGAGCCCCCUCUAUGAUGAACAGUGGGCUGGGUCCUCAGGCCACUGUCCCCAGUGCUGGGGACACACUGCCAGGCUGCUGUAGCAGCAAGCUCAGGAAGGGUACCGCCUGCCCCUGACUUCCCAUCCCCUGGGCUGCUUCUAAAACAUCCCCCUGCGGCUGGGUCCCCACCUACAGGCCUCUUCCCCAGGACAGGAGCCACCCUUGGCCUAAUCUUUCUCAGAGGCUCUGGUGUGACACCCGCGGCUCCAGAGAGGUGGCCCUCUGUAGACAGAGAGGAGUGUUACAACCUAGUAAGAGGGUAAAGUCAAAGGACCAAAGCAGGACACGAUCCUCAGGAGUCUGGCUGGGGCAGUGCGGUAUGCGGGCACACUUUCGUCCCGCUCUGCCCCAUGAGACUCCAACACUAAGCAAGCCCAAAAGUACGCAGGACUCAGUCCCAGGCUCCCUGUGUCCCUGUGACCCCAUGCUCCUGAAUACUGAUGUUCUGGAGCUGUGCCAUUGUGACCUGUCACUGCAGUGGAUCCCUAGGAAUAAAUCUUUCCAGAUCUAUUCCCAGUGGCUGCUGGGGCCAAGCACUUUUGGGAGAUCAAUAAAUGGAACACAAAACAGCGACAACUGAGAACCAUAAGUCUUGUAGGUUUGAGCAUACCAGAAACGCUAUUCUUCUUCCUGUCCAAGGGGGCCUCAGGGUAAGGUGGCCAGGAGAGGACAUCUUUCCUCAUGUUGGAUUUUGCUCCAACAAAACCCACUCAGUGGCUUCUUCCGUCUUGCCUGGGCCCCUGGCUGGUGAAAAGUGAGCAGAAACCAUAAUCUAUUGUCCUUUAGUUGCUCGCAAAUCUUUGGAAGUGAAAAAGAGAAGCCCCUCGAGAAUUCCCAGCUGAGGGGCUUUUUUGCUCCCUGCUCCGCUUCCCCCAGCCCGCCAGGGAUUGCAGGUUGAGAGGCAUCGGUGGUGGCUGCAUCUGUGGACAUGUGAAUUCCACUUCCUCUUCUCAGAGGCCUUUAGAUUUUCAGCACUCGGAGAUACAUGGCAGGAAUGAGCUGCGACUUUCUGUUGUUUAGGAUUUCCCAGAUUAUCAACCACAUAGCUCCUGAUCCUGUCAUCCCAGGGAAGUAGAGCUCUGAGGAGCACGCUGGGACCCCCAGGCCCCCUCAUGGGCUUGUGGCCUCUGUCCUUUGUCCUCUGGGUAAUUUUCCCACCUAAGGUGAUUUCCAGGAAGAGAGGAUGGAAAGGGAGCUUGUGAGUGACUCUCAGCCAGCCUCAUUCUGACCCUACUUCCCUCCUCCUCCUGUGAAGCCCUUCUCUGCAGGUGGACUGAGGCUCAGGCCUCCAGGGUCUGAGACAGGCCAGGAGAUAUCCCGCAGAGCCCCUGAGAUUCAUUAAAAAGCCUUUAGACCGAAGGCAAGAGCCACAAGUGGGCCUCAAAGGUGACCAGAAGCCUUGAAAAUGAUGUACUGAGCCACUAACUGACCUUGCUGACCUCUCUUCCUCACUCUCCUCGCCCCAGGUGAUCCAGGCACCCCAGGCAGUUUCCUGACUUCAGGUACGUAGGCCAGGAAGAGCUGCUCUUUGUGGUGUCCUUACCCCUCCUCUGCACCAAUUACCUAGUGGCCCUUCUUGAGCAAGAUUCUUGGGGCUCUCUUUUCAAAUAAAUGUCUUGCAGUUUUAUAACCUUGAGCCUGCAGUGGGUGAGAUCUUGGGACUCCUAACAUGCCUUUAGAUUAUCUGUCCUAUUGCCCUGACGCAAAGUUCUUGGUUCCUUUUUUGUUUGUU
rnacentral:lncRNA from 1 species